GGGUCAGUAGGUUGGUCGUGCCACCGGUACGUACUGGUCUCACUGAUUCCUCCUUCCUGAAGAACCGUAAUGCCAUUAAUUUGGUGUUGCGGGGAAACAGGACUGUUACUUUGAAAAAAUUAGAGUGAUUAAAGCAAGCUAACGCUUGAAUACAUUAGCAUGGAAUAAUGAAAUAGGACGAUCGAUCCUAUUUUGUUGGUUUCUAGGAUUGACGUA
rnacentral:rRNA from 1 species